rnacentral:rRNA from 1 species
AUAAUCAUUAGUUUUUUAAUUGAAAGCUUGUAUGAAUGAUUGGAUAAAAUAUUAAUUGUCUCAUUUUUAUUUAUUUUAAAAUUUAAUUUUUAAAUUAAAAAGUUUAAAUUUAAUUAGAGGACGAGAAGACCCUGUAGAUUUUUAUAUUAAAAGGUUAAUUUUAAUUAAUUUUAUUUAUUAAAUUAUAUUUUUUAAUAUUUUGUUGGGGUGACAUUAAAAUUAAAUUAACUUUUAAUUUAAUUAUACAUUAAUUUAUGAAUUUUUAAUAUAUUUUAUAUUAAUUAUUGAUCCUAUUUUUUAGAUUAAUAGAUUAAAAUACCUUAGGGAUAACAGCGUAAUUUAUUUGGAGAGAUCAUAUUAAUAAAUAAGUUUGC